rnacentral:rRNA from 1 species
CUAACACAUGCAAGUCGAACGGUAACAGGAAGAAGCUUGCUUCUUUGCUGACGAGUGGCGGACGGGUGAGUAAUGUCUGGGAAACUGCCUGAUGGAGGGGGAUAACUACUGGAAACGGUAGCUAAUACCGCAUAACGUCGCAAGACCAAAGAGGGGGACCUUCGGGCCUCUUGCCAUCGGAUGUGCCCAGAUGGGAUUAGCUAGUAGGUGGGGUAACGGCUCACCUAGGCGACGAUCCCUAGCUGGUCUGAGAGGAUGACCAGCCACACUGGAACUGAGACACGGUCCAGACUCCUACGGGAGGCAGCAGUGGGGAAUAUUGCACAAUGGGCGCAAGCCUGAUGCAGCCAUGCCGCGUGUAUGAAGAAGGCCUUCGGGUUGUAAAGUACUUUCAGCGGGGAGGAAGGGAGUAAAGUUAAUACCUUUGCUCAUUGACGUUACCCGCAGAAGAAGCACCGGCUAACUCCGUGCCAGCAGCCGCGGUAAUACGGAGGGUGCAAGCGUUAAUCGGAAUUACUGGGCGUAAAGCGCACGCAGGCGGUUUGUUAAGUCAGAUGUGAAAUCCCCGGGCUCAACCUGGGAACUGCAUCUGAUACUGGCAAGCUUGAGUCUCGUAGAGGGGGGUAGAAUUCCAGGUGUAGCGGUGAAAUGCGUAGAGAUCUG